UUGACUUAGACGGUCAACAUCUCAAAGAACUUCAUCGUGCUACAGGGGGUCCUUAUGGAUCCAUUGGUAAAACUUAAGGCACAUCUCUUUUAGAUAACAAUAUUUAGAUAGCAAAACCACCGUCUGGGCUUUCCUUAGCUCUGACAGACAUCGAAGUGCAAGGCGGCGGACAUCCUACGUGUUUGGUUCAGCAUUUAGAGUUUGCAUUACAUAGAAAAUACUUUUUUAGAUGCAGAAACUGUUGGCUGCAAGAAGACACCAAAUGAAUACGCAGGGUAAAACGGACAUUCCCGCACCGCAAGCCCCAACACCUCACCCCGGAUAUGCUCUUCACGCCGCACUACACGCUAUUAAGCGACACGCAGUUGAACUGAUGAACAAAAAAGAGCAGGAAGAAAAAUAACGCCCGGCAACCAAAAGUAUUCGAUUAACAUCAGCCCUAAUUCUUCGUAACAUUGCCACCCACUCCGCAUUAGGACGAAGGAGUCUCCAUCGUUACGAAAAUCAUUUAGCUAGCGUUGCGUUGAGCAACGUUGAGUCAUCCCGAACUGUAGCGCAAAAAUUUGGUUUACCAUAGUCAAACCAUCUUUAGCAAGCGUGAGUAAUCUAGGGACAAGGCUGUUGAUAUAUUACUCGAUGGCGUUGACAUUGUCUGAUAUGUAUUUCUGUUGGUGAUAUUUAUUUAGCUGAUUACUUUCCUUCAGGGCCAGUAUCCUUUGCAUUUUAAGUUCCUACUACUAGAAACAAAUGCAGAAUCAUGCCAAUUUGAUAGUGACUGCCAAAAUACAAGUCUAAUAACUCA